GAGAACAACCGGGAUUACCUCAGUAACGGCGAGUGAAGCGGUAACAGCUCAAAUUUGAAAUCUGGCUCCUUCGGAGUCCGAGUUGUAAUUUGUAGAAGCAGCUUUGGGCGGUGGGACCGGCCUAAGUUCCUUGGAACAGGACGUCAUAGAGGGUGAGAAUCCCGUAUGUGGCCGAGACCUCACACCUAUGUAAAGCGCUUUCGACGAGUCGAGUUGUUUGGGAAUGCAGCUCAAAAUGGGUGGUAAAUUUCAUCUAAAGCUAAAUAUAGGCCAGAGACCGAUAGCGCACAAGUAGAGUGAUCGAAAGAUGAAAAGCACUUUGGAAAGAGAGUUAAACAGUACGUGAAAUUGUUGAAAGGGAAGCGCUUGCAACCAGACUUGGACACCACUGAUCCGCGAGGGUUCUCCCUCGGGCACUCGGUGGGGUACAGGCCAGCAUCGGUUCGGAUGGUUGGAUAAAGGCCGCAGGAACGUAGCUCCUCUCGGGGAGUGUUAUAGCCUACGGUGCAAUGCAGCCCAGCCGGACCGAGGACCGCGCCUUCGGGCUAGGAUGCUGGCGUAAUGGUUGUAAGCGACCCGUCUUGAAACACGGACCAAGGAGUCUAACAUCUAUGCGAGUGUUUGGGCGUAAAACCCAUACGCGGAAUGAAAGUGAACGUAGGUGAGAACCCCUUUGGGAUGCAUCAUCGACCGAUCCUGAUGUCUUCGGAUGGAUUUGAGUAAGAGCAUAGCUGUUGGGACCCGAAAGAUGGUGAACUAUGCCUGAAUAGGGUGAAGCCAGAGGAAACUCUGGUGGAGGCUCGCAGCGGGUUCUGACGUGCAAAUCGAUCGUCAAAUUUGGGUAUAGGGGCGAAAGACUAAUCGAACCCAUCUAGUAGCUG
rnacentral:rRNA from 1 species